GCGGGUGUAGCUCAAUGGUAGAGCAGAAGCUUCCCAAGCUUAUUGUGCCCGACGGCCAACCAUA
rnacentral:tRNA from 1 species